rnacentral:rRNA from 1 species
CGAGUUGUAGUCUGGAGAAGUGCUUUCCGCGCUGGACCCGUGUAUAAGUCUCUUGGAACAGAGCGUCAUAGAGGGUGAGAAUCCCGUCUUUGACACGGACUACCAGUGCUUUGUGAUGCGCUCUCAAAGAGUCGAGUUGUUUGGGAAUGCAGCUCAAAAUGGGUGGUGAAUUCCAUCUAAAGCUAAAUAUUGGCGAGAGACCGAUAGCGAACAAGUACCGUGAGGGAAAGAUGAAAAGCACUUUGGAAAGAGAGUUAAACAGUACGUGAAAUUGCUGAAAGGGAAACGCUUGAAGUCAGUCGCGUUAGCCGGAACUCAGCCUUGCUUUCGCUUGGUGCACUUUCCGGUUGACGGGCCAGCAUCGAUUUUGACCGUCGGAUAAGGGCUAGAGUAAUGUGGCACCUCCGGGUGUGUUAUAGACUCUGGUCGCACACGGCGGUUGGGAUCGAGGAACGCAGCGCGCCGUAAGGCAGGGGUUCGCCCACUUUCGCGCUUAGGAUGCUGGCAUAAUGGCUUUAAACGACCCGUCUUGAAACACGGACCAAGGAGUCUAACAUACCUGCGAGUGUUUGGGUGGAAAACCCGAGCGCGUAAUGAAAGUGAAAGUUGAGACCUCUGUCGUGGAGGGCAUCGACGCCCGGACCUGACGUUCUCUGACGGAUCCGCGGUAGAGCAUGUAUGUUGGGACCCGAAAGAUGGUGAACUAUGCCUGAAUAGGGUGAAGCCAGAGGAAACUCUGGUGGAGGCUCGUAGCGAUUCUGACGUGCAAAUCGAUCGUCAAAUUUGGGUAUAGGGGCGAAAGACUAA